rnacentral:rRNA from 1 species
UACGAAGGUGGCAAGCGUUGUUCGGAUUUACUGGGCGUACAGGGAGCGUAGGCGGUUCGGUAAGCCCUUUGUGAAAUCUCCAGGCUUAACCUGGAACAGUCGGAGGGGACUGCCGGGCUAGAGGACGGGAGAGGAGCGCGGAAUUCCCGGUGUAGCGGUGAAAUGCGUAGAGAUCGGGAGGAAGGCCGGUGGCGAAGGCGGCGCUCUGGAACGUUUCUGACGCUGAGGCUCGAAAGCGUGGGGAGCAAACAGGAUUAGAUACCCUGGUAGUCCACGCCUUAAACUAUGAAUACUAAGUGUCGGCGGGUUACCGCCGGUGCCGCAGCUAACGCAUUAAGUAUUCCGCCUGGGAAGUACGGCCGCAAGGUUGAAACUCAAAG